rnacentral:rRNA from 1 species
GACGAACGCUGGCGGCGUGCUUAACACAUGCAAGUCGAACGGAAAGGCCCUGCUUUUGUGGGGUGCUCGAGUGGCGAACGGGUGAGUAACACGUGAGUAACCUGCCCUUGACUUUGGGAUAACUUCAGGAAACUGGGGCUAAUACCGGAUAGGAGCUCCUGCUGCAUGGUGGGGGUUGGAAAGUUUCGGCGGUUGGGGAUGGACUCGCGGCUUAUCAGCUUGUUGGUGGGGUAGUGGCUUACCAAGGCUUUGACGGGUAGCCGGCCUGAGAGGGUGACCGGCCACAUUGGGACUGAGAUACGGCCCAGACUCCUACGGGAGGCAGCAGUGGGGAAUAUUGCACAAUGGGCGGAAGCCUGAUGCAGCAACGCCGCGUGCGGGAUGACGGCCUUCGGGUUGUAAACCGCUUUCGCCUGUGACGAAGCGUGAGUGACGGUAAUGUGUAAAGAAGAACCGGCUAACUACGUG